rnacentral:rRNA from 1 species
CCUACGGGUGGCAGCAGUGAGGAAUAUUGGUCAAUGGACGAGAGUCUGAACCAGCCAAGUAGCGUGAAGGAUGACUGCCCUAUGGGUUGUAAACUUCUUUUAUAUGGGAAUAAAACGUUCCACGUGUGGGAUUUUGUAUGUACCAUAUGAAUAAGGAUCGGCUAACUCCGUGCCAGCAGCCGCGGUAAUACGGAGGAUCCGAGCGUUAGCCGGAUUUAUUGGGUUUAAAGGGAGCGUAGGUGGAUUGUUAAGUCAGUUGUGAAAGUUCGCGGCUCAACCGUAAAAUUGCAGUUGAAACUGGCAGUCUUGAGUACAGUAGAGGUGUGCGGAAUUCGUGGUGUAGCGGUGAAAUGCUUAGAUAUCACGAAGAACUCCGAUGGCGAAGGCAGUUCACUGGACUGCAACUGACACUGAGGCUCGAAAGUGUGGGUAUCAAACAGGAUUAGAUACCCGUGUAGUC